rnacentral:rRNA from 1 species
GAUGAACGCUGGCGGCGUGCCUAAUACAUGCAAGUCGAGCGAACAGAUGAGGAGCUUGCUCCUCUGACGUUAGCGGCGGACGGGUGAGUAACACGUGGAUAACCUACCUAUAAGACUGGGAUAACUUCGGGAAACCGGAGCUAAUACCGGAUAAUAUAUUGAACCGCAUGGUUCAAUAGUGAAAGACGGUUUUGCUGUCACUUAUAGAUGGAUCCGCGCCGCAUUAGCUAGUUGGUAAGGUAACGGCUUACCAAGGCAACGAUGCGUAGCCGACCUGAGAGGGUGAUCGGCCACACUGGAACUGAGACACGGUCCAGACUCCUACGGGAGGCAGCAGUAGGGAAUCUUCCGCAAUGGGCGAAAGCCUGACGGAGCAACGCCGCGUGAGUGAUGAAGGUCUGCGGAUCGUAAAACUCUGUUAUUAGGGAAGAACAAAUGUGUAAGUAACUAUGCACGUCUUGACGGUACCUAAGCAGAAAGCCACGGCUAACUACGU